GAAGUCUGAAAGAGGACGUGGUGUUGCAGUGACAGUCCCCGCUGACGGCUGCUUCCCCUGGGUCAGCCAUGCAUGGGUCCUGGACUCCUCACGGCAGCCUCACAAACAGGGUGAGCUGUCCCGUCUUCCCACUGCCCAGCAGAGAGCUCGUCCAGUCACAGCUCCCACGCGGUGAGACCAGGACGAGGCCUCGUGUACGCGCCAGUCACCCUGGCAGCCGUAUCAGCAUGAGGCAGGGUCUCAGAAGGCUCUAAUCCAAAGUAACGUCUUCCACGAGUGUCAGGCAAGCUGAAGAAGCUUCCCUGGGUCUCACCAUUCUAGGUCAGUGGUCCUGAACCUCUUAGGUCACAGAACCCCUUGAGAACCUAGUGAGGACUGGAAUAUAGCCCCAGGAAGACAUCUCUGUGUAUACACACGAUGGUGGCCAAAGGUCUGAGUCGUGCCUUUGAGGUCCAGAACCAAGGAGGGGGCAUCAGAGGGCCAGGCCCCAGAAGGCGGGCAGCUGCUAUUGACAUGGUUACCUCAAAAUGUAUAAGCCUCCAGCCUCAAAAAUUUUUAAAAACCUUUCAGAUCCCCAAACUGAAAGCAAUCAUCAAGAGGGGAACAGAAUAGGUAGGGGUGGUGUGUUCACGCCAUGGAAUGUUGGGGGGCACUGGGAGUGGGAGGGGACAGACACCCCACUCCAUGGUACAUGGUGCCAGGCAGCUGCCAGACCCAGCACAGUGAUGUUUAGACGGGCACGUGGUCUGGUGGAAGAGGUCAGAGGGUGGGCGACACUGGGUACGUAGCCUGGGUGGUGCCGGCUAAUGGGUGUGUCACUGGCUGGAAACUCAUCCAGCCACGCUUAGAAUUGGGGCACAUUCCACAUGUAUGUUCGGUUGCACUGAAGAUUUUCUUAGAAUUUCAGCUUCCAGGGGAGUGCUUUUAGCUACUCUACAAAUGCACUCCAAGUGCACUCCGCACCACAUGGGAAACCCCCACACUUUCAGAAUUAAUAAGGGAGGUUCUGUGACCAUCUUCAUUUCAUGGGUGGGAAAGCCAGGUUCAGAGAUGUGCGGCAGCUAGCCCGGGGUCACACAGCACGUGCCUGCUUAACGCCUACUGCGCCUGACUCAUCUGGCGACAGUCCAGAUGGCCACAGCACGAUCCGCGGAGACCGGGGCUCCAGGGCCAAGCUCACCUCCCCUCCUCCAUCGUGAAAGAGGGGAGCAUCUUUGGCGCCAGGCGCUGUUGGGACGAGUUGACGCCUCACUUGCUGCAGCUGCUGGUG
ensembl:lncRNA